AGCGAACGCUGGCGGCAGGCCUAACACAUGCAAGUCGAACGGAUCCUUCGGGAUUAGUGGCGGACGGGUGAGUAACACGUGGGAACGUACCUUUUGGUUCGGAAUAACGCAGAGAAAUUUGCGCUAAUACCGGAUGAGCCCUUCGGGGGAAAGAUUUAUCGCCGAAAGAUCGGCCCGCGUUGGAUUAGGUAGUUGGUGUGGUAAAGGCGCACCAAGCCUGCGAUCCAUAGCUGGUCUGAGAGGAUGAUCAGCCACACUGGGACUGAGACACGGCCCAGACUCCUACGGGAGGCAGCAGCGGGGAAUCUUGCGCAAUGGGCGAAAGCUUGACGCAGCCAUGCCGCGUGAAUGAUGAAGGUCUUAGGAUUGUAAAAUUCUUUUACCAGGGACGAUAAUGACGGUACCUGGAGAAAAAGCCCCGGCUAACUUCGUGCCAGCAGCCGCCGUAACAC
rnacentral:rRNA from 1 species